ACCUAUUGAUUCUAUUCUUUCAAAGUCUUAUCUGUUUUUAUCAGCUUAAUAUCUGAUACGUGGCUUCCUAGCCACUACGGUAUUAAACUGAUUUUUGGACACAGGCGAGAUGCUCGAGGCUUGCUCCGCUCUCGCCAAGGGUCGGCCCGGUAUUGCAGUCUAUUCAAGUCUCAAAUUAAAUAAA